rnacentral:rRNA from 1 species
UACGUAGGGGGCAAGCGUUGUCCGGAAUCAUUGGGCGUAAAGCGCGCGUAGGCGGCCCGAUCAGUCCGCUGUAAAAGUCCAGGGCUCAACCCUGGAAAGCCGGUGGAUACUGUCGGGCUAGAGUCCGGAAGAGGCGAGUGGAAUUCCUAGUGUAGAGGUGAAAUUCGUAGAUAUUAGGAAGAACACCAGUGGCGAAGGCGGCUCACUGGCCCGGUACUGACGCUGAGGCGCGAAAGCGUGGGGAGCAAACAGG